rnacentral:rRNA from 1 species
AUUGAACGCUGGCGGAAUGCUUUACACAUGCAAGUCGAACGGCAGCACGGACUUCGGUCUGGUGGCGAGUGGCGAACGGGUGAGUAAUGUAUCGGAACGUGCCCAGUCGUGGGGGAUAACGUAGUGAAAAUUACGCUAAUACCGCAUACGAUCUAUGGAUGAAAGCGGGGGAUCGCAAGACCUCGCGCGAUUGGAGCGGCCGAUAUCCGAUUAGGUAGUUGGUGGGGUAAAGGCCCACCAAGCCAACGAUCUGUAGCUGGCCUGAGAGGACGACCAGCCACACUGCAGCUGAGACACGGUCCAGACUCCUACGGGAGGCAGCAGUGGAGAAUUUUGGACAAUGGGCGAAAGCCUGAUCCAGCCCUUCCGCGUGCAGGAUGAAGGCCCUCGGGUUGUAAACUGCUUUUGUACAGAACGAAAAGGUUUCUACUAUACUAGGAGCUCAUGACGGUACUGUAAGAAUAAGCACCGGCUAACUACGUGCCAGCCGCCGCCGUAA